ACUAUAACAGAAGGACAUAAUCGGCCCUGGAUGUUUGCAGAACUUUACAGCCAGUCUCCAUCUCCAGGGAGCUCACUUCCUUCAGCUUUCUGAGUCACAAAGUCCACUAUCAUCAUGUCUGACACAGAAGACGUUGAGCAGCAGGGUGAGUACUGCUACUUUUUACAUAUAAUAAUUUAAAUUUGUUUUUAAUUAUUUGCUAAAAAAUUAAUGCCAGUAAAUUUAGUUUAAAUGUUU
rnacentral:lncRNA from 1 species